UACGAAGGGGCUAGCGUUGCUCGGAAUCACUGGGCGUAAAGGGUGCGUAGGCGGGUCUUUAAGUCAGGGGUGAAAUCCUGGAGCUCAACUCCAGAACUGCCUUUGAUACUGAAGAUCUUGAGUUCGGGAGAGGUGAGUGGAACUGCGAGUGUAGAGGUGAAAUUCGUAGAUAUUCGCAAGAACACCAGUGGCGAAGGCGGCUCACUGGCCCGAUACUGACGCUGAGGCACGAAAGCGUGGGGAGCAACAGG
rnacentral:rRNA from 1 species